rnacentral:rRNA from 1 species
GACGAACGCUGGCGGCGUGCUUAACACAUGCAAGUCGAGCGAUGAACCUUUCAUGAAUUUUUCGGAAUGAUUGGAAGAGGAUUAGCGGCGGACGGGUGGGUAACGCGUGAGCAACCUGCCUUAAACAACGGGAUAGCCUCGGGAAACCGGGAUUAAUACCGUAUGGGACCCCGCCUUCACAUGAAGAAGAGGUUAAAGAUUUAUCGGUUUAAGAUGGGCUCGCGUCUGAUUAGCUAGUUGGUGAGAUAAAAGCCCACCAAGGCAACGAUCAGUAACCGGCUUGAGAGAGUGAACGGUCACAUUGGAACUGAGACACGGUCCAAACUCCUACGGGAGGCAGCAGUGGGGAAUAUUGCACAAUGGGGGAAACCCUGAUGCAGCGACGCCGCGUGAGCGAUGAAGGAAUUCGUUUCGUAAAGCUCUGUCCAAGGGGAAGAUAAUGACAGUACCCUUGGAGGAAGCCCCGGCUAAAUACGUGCCAGCAGCCGCGGUAU